rnacentral:rRNA from 1 species
UACGAAGGUGUCGAACGUUGUCCGGAAUAACUGGGCGUAAAGGGCGCGUAGGCGGUCGGGUAAGUGAGAUGUGAAAGCUCUGGGCUCAACCCAGGAAUUGCAUUUCAUACUGCUCGACUUGAGUUCGGUAGAGGAGGGCGGAAUUCCAGGUGUAGCGGUGAAAUGCGUAGAUAUCUGGAGGAACACCCGUGGCGAAGGCGGCUCUCUGGUCCGAUACUGACGCUGAGGCGCGAAAGCUAGGGUAGCAAACGGG